rnacentral:rRNA from 1 species
CACGUAGGGCGCAAGCGUUGUCCGGAAUUAUUGGGCGUAAAGAGCUCGUAGGCGGUCUGUUGCGUCCGCUGUGAAAGCCCCGGGCUUAACCUGGGAACUGCGUUUGAUACGGAUGGGCUAGAGUUCGGGAGAGGAGAGUGGAAUUCCCAGUGUAGAGGUGAAAUUCGUAGAUAUUGGGAAGAACACCGGUGGCGAAGGCGGCUCUCUGGACCGAGACUGACGCUGAGGCGCGAAAGCGUGGGGAGCAAACAGG